GGCAGCAGGCUAGAAAUUUGCACAAUGGGCGAAAGCCUGAUGCAGCGACGCCGCGUGGAGGAUGAAGGCCUUAUCGGUUGUAAACUCCUUUUAGAGGGAAUGAAGUCCAAAGGCGCAAAUAGUACCUUUGGAUGACAGUACUCUCAGAAAAAGCUCCGGCUAACUCCGUGCCAGCAGCCGCGGUAAUACGGAGGGAGCAAGCGUUGUCCGGAAUCACUGGGCGUAAAGGGGGUCUAGGUGGAUUUUUAAGUCAGAUGUGAAAUCUCUCGGCUUAACUGAGAAACUGCAACUGAAACUGGGAAUCUUGAGCACGGUAGAGGAGAGUGGAACUCUCAGUGUAGCGGUGGAAUGCGUAGAUAUUGAGAGGAACACCAUUGGCGAAGGCAGCUCUCUGGACCGUUGCUGACACUAAAGCCCGAAAGCUGGGGUAGCGAACAGGAUUAGAUACCCUGGUAGUCCCAGCCGUAAACGAUGGACACUAGGUGUUGGGCGUGAUGCUCGGUGCCGUAGUUAACACGUUAAGUGUCCCGCCUGGGGAGUACGGUCGCAAGGCUGAAACUCAAAUGAAUUGACGG
rnacentral:rRNA from 1 species